CAAUAGCGUAUAUUAAAGUUGUUGCAGUUAAAAAGCUCGUAGUUGGAUUUCUGGCUGAAGAGUCCGGUCCGGCCCGCAAGGGCUGUGCACUAGUGUCUUUCUUUGGCCAUCCUUGGGAGGAACGUGUCUGGCAUUAGGUUGUCGGGUUCGGGAUUCCCAUCGUUUACUGUGAAAAAUUAGAGUGUUUAAAGCAGGCUUACGCCGCUGAAUACAUUAGCAUGGAAUAAUAAGAUAGGACUUUGGUACUAUUUUGUUGGUUUGCAUACCAAGGUAAUGAUUAAUAGGGAUAGUUGGGGGUAUUCAUAUUUAAUUGUCAGAGGUGAAAUUCUUGGAUUUAUGAAAGAUGAACUUAUGCGAAAGCAUUUACCAAGGAUGUUUUCAUUAAUCAAGAACGAAAGUUAGGGGAUCGAAGACGAUUAGAUACCAU
rnacentral:rRNA from 1 species